rnacentral:rRNA from 1 species
GAGUUUGAUCCUGGCUCAGAAUGAACGCUGGCGGCAGGCCUAACACAUGCAAGUCGAACGGAGUUAUAUUGUAGCUUGCUAUGGUAUAACUUAGUGGCAGACGGGUGAGUAAUGUAUAGGAAUCUACCUAGUAGUACGGAAUAAUUGUUGGAAACGGCAACUAAUACCGUAUACGCCCUACGGGGGAAAAAUUUAUUGCUAUUAGAUGAGCCUAUAUUAGAUUAGUUAGUUGGUGAGGUAAAGGCUUACCAAGACAAUGAUCUAUAGCUGAUCUGAGAGGAUGAUCAGCCACACUGGAACUGAGAUACGGUCCAGACUCCUACGGGAGGCAGCAGUGGGGAAUAUUGGACAAUGGGCGAAAGCCUGAUCCAGCCAUGCCGCAUGAGUGAAGAAGGCCUUCGGGUUGUAAAGCUCUUUCGGUGAGGAAGAUAAUGACGGUACUCACAGAAGAAGUCCUGGCUAACUCCGUGCCAGCAGCCGCGGUAAUACGGAGAGGGCUAGCGUUAUUCGGAAUUAUUGGGCGUAAAGAGCGC